UACGUAGGGUGCAAGCGUUGUCCGGAAUUAUUGGGCGUAAAGAGCUCGUAGGCGGUUUGUUGCGUCGGCUGUGAAAACCUGAGGCUCAACCUCAGGCCUGCAGUCGAUACGAGCAGACUAGAGUGUUGCAGGGGAGACUGGAAUUCCUGGUGUAGCGGUGAAAUGCGCAGAUAUCAGGAGGAACACCGGUGGCGAAGGCGGCUACCUGGACAGAUACUGACACUGAGGCGCGAGAGCGUGGGGAGCAAACAGG
rnacentral:rRNA from 1 species